AGGCUGCCCCAGGCGGUGGGAGCCCAACCUCUGGCUCAGGCUAUUGGGCUCCUCAUUGCCUUCAUUAAACAAAUAAACGUUCCUACUUCCUUGGGACCACUUUUAUAGAAAAGCCUAAUGGCAUUAAUGGUUUCUGGUAAUUGACUCUAUAUUUGCAAGGCGAACUUUGAAGCCUGUGAAUUGUUGUAAACUGCAUUUAAUGAAAGAAGCUUUAAACAGUCUUUGGUGCAAAUUAUGUAACUUCCUAAUAACUCACCUUCUGUUAACAUAGACUGAUGACUGAUCAAUUGAUGAUUGACAUAAUGUGUACGGAAUUUUGGUUUCAGUCAAAAAGAUUUUCUAGGCAGUUGGUGCUAAAAUUAAAAUCGGAUCAGGAGGAGGUUUUUAGAAGUAGUGUGUAGUGUGUGUUUUGUCUCCGUAGUCAUUUAGAUGUAAGAAUUUAGAUUUGGAAAGCCCAAGGAAAAAGAAUUUUGAAAUUUUGAUUUGACUGACAAGGUGAAAGGUCAAAAGGUCAAAUACGGAAGGAUUUCAUUUAUAUGAUAUUCUAGAAAAGAUAAACCAUAGGGAAAGACAACAGAUUGUUAGUUGUCAUUAGUUUUAAUAUUUAGUUAAUCAUUUAGUUUAAUAGUUUAAUCAUUAGUUUUAAUAUUUCUGAUUUAAAAAAUACAUUUUAAUGAUACUAUCCUAAUUAUGCUUUUGGAUGAUACCAGAAGUUAAUAACCUAUUAAAUUCUGCAGUAGGAAGAAAUGACAUGUUGGUUAUUGGUGUCUUUGAAGUCACACGUGUGGAGGACUCCCUAGAAUGGACACCUGCCUGUGAGUGGAUUGCUGGGCCAGAGGCUGACGUGCAUCUGAAACUUGAUGAGCUGCAGCCAAAUCAUCCUCUGAAGUUUUAACAAUUUCCAUUCCCGCCAACAGUGUCUGAGUCAUCCUUGCCCUGGGAAUUGUCAGGUCAGCAUUGUCAGAUUUUUAAAGUUUUGCCAAUCUGAUGAGUGAGAAAUGAUGUAUUUGUUUUCCUCUUUGUACAACUGUUUUGACAAACUCAUAGAGCUGUGCAACUACCAAAAUUGAGAUACAGAACAGUUCCAGCACCCAGAACUCCCUUCAGCUGCUCUUUUGUAGUCAUCUCUUCCCCCACCCUUAACCCCUGAUGACUAAUGAUUUGUUGUCUUUCCCUAUGGUUUGUCUUUUCUAGAAUAUCAUAUAAAUGGAAUCCUACAGUAUUUGGCCUUUUGAGUCUGGAUUCUUUCAUUUAGCACAAUACAUUGAUUUGAGUGUUCA